rnacentral:rRNA from 1 species
UACGGGGGGGGCAAGCGUUGUUCGGAAUUACUGGGCGUAAAGGGCUCGUAGGCGGCCAACUAAGUCAGACGUGAAAUCCCUCGGCUUAACCGGGGAACUGCGUCUGAUACUGGAUGGCUAGAGUUUGGGAGAGGGAUGCGGAAUUCCAGGUGUAGCGGUGAAAUGCGUAGAUAUCUGGAGGAACACCAAUUGCGGAGGCAGCUCGCUGGGACGUGACUGACGCUGAGACGCGAAAGCGUGGGGAGCAAACAGG